rnacentral:rRNA from 1 species
AGCAGCCGCGGUAAUUCCAGCUCCAAUAGCGUAUAUUAAAGUUGUUGCAGUUAAAAGCUCGUAGUUGAAUUUCGGGAUCAAUUAAUUGGUCGUGCCUCUGGUACGCACUGGUUUUAUUGGUUUCUCCCUUCUGACGAACCACGAUGUCAUUAAUUUGGUGUCGUGGAGAAUCAGGACUGUUACUUUGAAAAAUUAGAGUGUUUAAAGCAGGCUAACGCUUGAAUACAUUAGCAUGGAAUAAUGAAAUAGGACGUUUGAUCCUAUUUGUUGGUUUCUAGGAUCGACGUAAUGAUUAAUAGAGAUAGUUGGGGGCAUUAGAUUCAAUUGUCAGAGGUGAAAUUCUUGGAUUUAUUGAAGACUAACUACUGCGAAAGCAUUUGCCAAGGAUGUUUUCAUUAAUCAAGAACGAAAGUU